rnacentral:rRNA from 1 species
AACGAACGCUGGCGGCAGGCUUAACACAUGCAAGUCGAGCGAAGACUUCGGUCUUAGCGGCGGACGGGUGAGUAACGCGUGGGAACGUGCCCUUCUCUACGGAACAGUCCUGGGAAACUGGGUUUAAUACCGUAUACGCCCUUUUGGGGAAAGAUUUAUCGCAGAAGGAUCGGCCCGCGUCUGAUUAGCUAGUUGGUGAGGUAAUGGCCCACCAAGGCGACGAUCAGUAGCUGGUCUGAGAGGAUGAUCAGCCACAUUGGGACUGAGACACGGCCCAAACUCCUACGGGAGGCAGCAGUGGGGAAUAUUGGACAAUGGGCGCAAGCCUGAUCCAGCCAUGCCGCGUGAGUGAUGAAGGCCUUAGGGUUGUAAAGCUCUUUCGUCCGGGACGAUAAUGACGGUACCGGAAGAAGAAGCCCCGGCUAACUUCGUGCCAGCAGCCGCCGUAAAAC